UACGUAGGGGGCGAGCGUUGUCCGGAUUUAUUGGGCGUAAAGAGCUCGUAGGCGGUUUGUCGCGUCUGCUGUGAAAAUCCAGGGCUUAACCCUGGACCUGCAGUGGGUACGGGCAGACUGGAGUGCGGUAGGGGAGAUCGGAAUUCCUGGUGUAGCGGUGAAAUGCGCAGAUAUCAGGAGGAACACCGGUGGCGAAGGCGGAUCUCUGGGCCGUAACUGACGCUGAGGAGCGAAAGCAUGGGGAGCGAACAGG
rnacentral:rRNA from 1 species